CUCAGAAGAAGAGAACGACAAGAAAAUAUAGUGUGAAGAUUAAUCUGCAAGAAGAAAGAGUUAGUGAAAUUUGAGGUAGAAAAUGGCGGAGAAACGUUCACUUCCACAUUUUGUUUUGAUUCAUGGAGCAGGUCACGGAGCUUGGUGCUGGUACAAGAUCAGGUGCCUCUUGGAAACCUCCGGUUACAAGGUAACAUGUCUCGACCUCAAAGGUUCUGGUAUCGAUCUCUGCGAUCCCAACACAAUCCUCACCUUCCAUGAAUAUAACAAGCCUCUUCUCGACUUCUUGUCCAAUUUGCCAGAGAAUCACAAGGUUAUCUUGGUGGGGCAUAGUGCAGGAGGUUUAAGCUUGACGGACGCUAUACAUAGAUUCGGCAAGAAAAUUCAGAUGGCCAUUUACAUUUCAGCCAACAUGUUGAAGUAUGGCUUCUGUACACCUCAAGAUGAUGAAGAUGGAGAGCCUCAUCCAUCUGAAUAUGGGGAAAUAAAUGUCUUUGAAUAUGGUAUGGGAAUUGAUCAGCCUCCAACCUCUGUUAUCAUAAAGGAGGAGUUCCAGUGUGAAAUUUUGUAUCAAAUGAGCCCCAAGGAGGACUUGACAUUAGCAUCCAGUCU
rnacentral:misc_RNA from 1 species